CAACACUGUAUUGUCUCAGUCAUCAUGAUAAGGUACUGGAAUAUUACAGGACUUCAAUGCAAUGGGAGCUGACCAAGAAAAUGCAACCAAAAUAAUGGCAAUGGAAGAAUUUCAAUCAAAACAUUAUAAUACAACGUCAGUGUUAACUUCAGAACUAGAGAUAA